AUUGAACGCUGGCGGCAGGCCUAACACAUGCAAGUCGAACGAGUGGCGGACGGGUGAGUAAUGUCUGGGAAACUGCCCGAUGGAGGGGGAUAACUACUGGAAACGGUAGCUAAUACCGCAUACCAUCGGAUGUGCCCAGAUGGGAUUAGCUAGUAGGUGGGGUAACGGCUCACCUAGGCGACGAUCCCUAGCUGGUCUGAGAGGAUGACCAGCCACACUGGAACUGAGACACGGUCAAGACUCCUACGGACGGCAGAAGUGGGGAAUAUUGCAAAAGGGGGGCAAGCCGGAUGCGGCCAUGCGGCGUGUAUGAAGAAGGCCUUCGGGUUGUAAAGUACUUUCAGCGAGGAGGCGUUACUCGAAGAAGAAGCAUCGGCUAACUCCGGGCCAGCCGCAGCGGUAAUUC
rnacentral:rRNA from 1 species